GCCCAGGUGGCGGAAUUGGUAGACGCGCUAGCUUCAGGUGCUAGUUCGGGUAACCGAGUGGAGGUUCGAGUCCUCUCCUGGGCA
rnacentral:tRNA from 1 species